CCUCGGACUCUCCGUUUCAGGGUUUCAUUCUCUUUAUUUGUUUUUUAUGUCCAUAUAUUUAUUACCACCAUUAUCUCUUUCUCUUCACUCCAAUUUUCAACUCCAAGAACCAACAACACCCAACAAAAAUAAUGCACUUUCUUUCUGGUGACAAUGACGCGAAGUGUUAAGCUUAAAAACGGUGAACAAGAGAAGGGGUUUCGGAAUUUGCACGGAAAUUUUGAUCUCAAUGUAAGUGCUUCCGAACUGGAGGAGCAGCCUAAUGUAAAGUGUCAAUUAAUAGAAAAGCAUAAUAGCCACUUUAGUGACUUUCCUCGAAGGAUGGAGAAUCACAAAGAUAACGAUAAUGUGGAACCCCGCCAACACGGAGAGCAUGUACAGCAGACAAAGACGGUUGAAGGGUGUAUCGAUCACUUGUUGAUUCUUGCUCAAUCUGCCGAGAUAGUAGCACAAUCCGAAGAUGGCAUAACUAGGACGGAUACGGAUCAAAAUAAAGACUUACAUAACAACUUAGUUGGUCAAAUAUCACAAGGAUAUUCAAUUUUGAAAUUUCUUCCGUGCACUUUGGAAUCCCAAAGUCAGAAGAGUUUGAUAACUAACCCCUAUUUUCGUGUUUAUAGAUCAGGAAUACUCUCGAGAACUACUUCAUAUUUCACCAGUGGAUUCUCCACUAUGUAGUCAAGGCUUUGAGUUUCGCAAUGAAGUUACAAGACCCUGCUUAACUCAAAUUCCGAAGCAAACUGCAUGUGAGUAUCGUAUAAUGGAUCAAGAGAAGCGUGGGGAUAACCAAUGCAAACAUUUGCAUGGAAAAACAAUCCGCUUGAGCCAAAUAAAGCAUCGAGCUAGGUGCAAAAGUAAGAAGGAUUUGGCACCACAAAAAAUGACGAGUAGACUUAGAAAUGAGCAACCGCGAGGAAGAAUACUUCGACUGAGUCAGAUGAAAAACCGAGCUCGGUCAAAGGGCAAUACAACAGUGAAAGAACGUACUGAGGAACAUAUAGGCAGGAGUCUUCAUUGCAAUAUAUUUAAAGGUGAAUAAUGAGGAACCUAAUAGUGUGAGCAGAGCGGCAGUUUUGUUGAGUUUAUGCAGAGAGCAGAACACUUUUUUCCUUGACAUUACAUAAAGCUAUGAUUAACCCAAUGUUAUCAUUGUUAUAGAUAAUAAGGAAACGAUGGUUGCAAGCCGACUUGUGGAAGAAGGUACUUGUCAAGGGGGUAAGGCUCUUUCUUCCGUAAGUCAUUAACGUUAAACAAGAUCGAUCAUAUGGUACUUGAUGCGGAGUUAGUUGGUGCAGUCAUGUAAUCCUCCACAGAAGUAUGUUGAAUUUCGUUUUCGAUUGGCAAUUUCUUAAUCUAGCAGUACCCCUGGCUAAGAUUACCUUUAGGUUAGAUUGCUAAUUUUCGUUCCUUGUUAAAAAUAAACUCCAUGUCGCGUUGUUGCGCACCAGCAUUGAAGAAAAGGGCAUUGAAGGAUAAUUAACAAAACUCAAAAAAUCAUGUACAAGAUAAGACAGCAUCUACGACAGAGUUGUAUCAGCCACCGUUGAAAAGGGAUUAGAAUUUCCAGAACUAGGAUAAUUUCUUGUUUCAUGAAGCUUAAACUUCUAGGUUUUGAGAUAGAAAUAAUACACAUACAUACCCUUUUCAGAUGUGUUUAAUAUAUGAUAAUCAAAGUGUCUUUAUCUUCAAAGUACAAGUUCUGUUUUCUUGAUCAGUUUCAAAUCUCAACUUUAUGCAGCUGCAAUCUCAGAUGCACAUACGGAAUUUAUGCCUGUCAAAAGGUUACGCUUGACUCAACUGAGACGUGAAGUUCGAUCGGGGUAUCAAUGGCAUUCUGUUAUACAAGGCCCUGGUAAAAAAGUAGAGGGCAAUGGUGAUUAAUUAUUUGCUGCUAUUUGUAAAAUCCUCUGGAACCUUUCUUGUACAGUUUUGACGGAUAUUAAGCGAUUUUGAGGGCUAGGAUUCAUACAAGGACAAGUCUUGCCAUGGUGGUAU
rnacentral:lncRNA from 1 species